rnacentral:misc_RNA from 1 species
CUUUGUUGCUUUGUCAGG